rnacentral:rRNA from 1 species
UUGAAGAGUUUGAUCAUGGCUCAGAUUGAACGCUGGCGGCAGGCCUAACACAUGCAAGUCGGGCGGUAACACGGGGAGCUUGCUCCCGGGUGACGAGCGGCGGACGGGUGAGUAAUGUCUGGGAAACUGCCUGAUGGAGGGGGAUAACUACUGGAAACGGUAGCUAAUACCGCAUAACGUCGCAAGACCAAAGAGGGGGACCUUCGGGCCUCUUGCCAUCAGAUGUGCCCAGAUGGGAUUAGCUAGUAGGUGGGGUAACGGCUCACCUAGGCGACGAUCCCUAGCUGGUCUGAGAGGAUGACCAGCCACACUGGAACUGAGACACGGUCCAGACUCCUACGGGAGGCAGCAGUGGGGAAUAUUGCACAAUGGGCGCAAGCCUGAUGCAGCCAUGCCGCGUGUAUGAAGAAGGCCUUCGGGUUGUAAAGUACUUUCAGCGGGGAGGAAGGUGUUGUGGUUAAUAACCACAGCAAUUGACGUUACCCGCAGAAGAAGCACCGGCUAACUCCGUGCCAGCAGCCGCGGUAAUACGGAGGGUGCAAGCGUUAAUCGGAAUUACUGGGCGUAAAGCGCACGCAGGCGGUCUGUCAAGUCGGAUGUGAAAUCCCCGGGCUCAACCUGGGAACUGCAUUCGAAACUGGCAGGCUAGAGUCUUGUAGAGGGGGGUAGAAUUCCAGGUGUAGCGGUGAAAUGCGUAGAGAUCUGGAGGAAUACCGGUGGCGAAGGCGGCCCCCUGGACAAAGACUGACGCUCAGGUGCGAAAGCGUGGGGAGCAAACAGGAUUAGAUACCCUGGUAGUCCACGCCGUAAACGAUGUCGACUUGGAGGUUGUGCCCUUGAGGCGUGGCUUCCGGAGCUAACGCGUUAAGUCGACCGCCUGGGGAGUACGGCCGCAAGGUUAAAACUCAAAUGAAUUGACGGGGGCCCGCACAAGCGGUGGAGCAUGUGGUUUAAUUCGAUGCAACGCGAAGAACCUUACCUACUCUUGACAUCCAGAGAACUUAGCAGAGAUGCUUUGGUGCCUUCGGGAACUCUGAGACAGGUGCUGCAUGGCUGUCGUCAGCUCGUGUUGUGAAAUGUUGGGUUAAGUCCCGCAACGAGCGCAACCCUUAUCCUUUGUUGCCAGCGGUUAGGCCGGGAACUCAAAGGAGACUGCCAGUGAUAAACUGGAGGAAGGUGGGGAUGACGUCAAGUCAUCAUGGCCCUUACGAGUAGGGCUACACACGUGCUACAAUGGCGCAUACAAAGAGAAGCGACCUCGCGAGAGCAAGCGGACCUCAUAAAGUGCGUCGUAGUCCGGAUUGGAGUCUGCAACUCGACUCCAUGAAGUCGGAAUCGCUAGUAAUCGUAGAUCAGAAUGCUACGGUGAAUACGUUCCCGGGCCUUGUACACACCGCCCGUCACACCAUGGGAGUGGGUUGCAAAAGAAGUAGGUAGCUUAACCUUCGGGAGGGCGCUUACCACUUUGUGAUUCAUGACUGGGGUGAAGUCGUAACAAGGUAACCGUAGGGGAACCUGCGGUUGGAUCACCUCCUU